rnacentral:rRNA from 1 species
ACGUAGGGAGCGAGCGUUGUCCGGAAUCAUUGGGCGUAAAGCGCGCGUAGGCGGCCCGAUAAGUCCGCUGUGAAAGUCAACGGCUCAACUGUUGAAUGCCGGUGGAUACUGUCGGGCUAGAGUACGGAAGAGGCAAGUGGAAUUCCUGGUGUAGCGGUGAAAUGCGUAGAUAUCAGGAGGAACACCGGUGGCGAAGGCGGCUUUCUGGCCCGUAACUGACACUGGGGCGCGAAAGCGUGGGGAGCGAACGG